rnacentral:rRNA from 1 species
CGUGCCUAAUACAUGCAAGUAGAACGCAGAAGGAAGGAGCUUGCUUUUUCUGGAUGAGUUGCGAACGGGUGAGUAACGYGUAGGUAACCUGCCUGUUAGCGGGGGAUAACUAUUGGAAACGAUAGCUAAUACCGCAUAAGAGUGGCUAACCCAUGUUAGCCAUUUGAAAGGGGCAACUGCUCCACUAACAGAUGGACCUGCGUUGUAUUAGCUAGUAGGUGAGGUAAGGGCUCACCUAGGCGACGAUACAUAGCCGACCUGAGAGGGUGAUCGGCCACACUGGGACUGAGACACGGCCCAGACUCCUACGGGAGGCAGCAGUAGGGAAUCUUCGGCAAUGGGGGCAACCCUGACCGAGCAACGCCGCGUGAGUGAAGAAGGUUUUCGGAUCGUAAAGCUCUGUUGUAAGAGAAGAACGUUGUGUAGAGUGGAAAGUUACACAAGUGACGGUAUCUUACCAGAAAGGGACGGCUAACUACGUGCCAGCAGCCGCGGUAAUACGUAGGUCCCGAGCGUUGUCCGGAUUUAUUGGGCGUAAAGCGAGCGCAGGCGGUUUAAUAAGUCUGAAGUUAAAGGCAGUGGCUCAACCAUUGUUUGCUUUGGAAACUGUUGGACUUGAGUGCAGAAGGGGAGAGUGGAAUUCCAUGUGUAGCGGUGAAAUGCGUAGAUAUAUGGAGGAACACCGGUGGCGAAAGCGGCUCUCUGGUCUGUCACUGACGCUGAGGCUCGAAAGCGUGGGUAGCGAACAGGAUUAGAUACCCUGGUAGUCCACGCCGUAAACGAUGAGUGCUAGGUGUUGGGUCCUUUCCGGGACUCAGUGCCGACGCUAACGCAUUAAGCACUCCGCCUGGGGAGUACGACCGCAUGGUUGAAACUCAA